rnacentral:rRNA from 1 species
AGAAUCAACGCUGGCGGCGUGCCUAACACAUGCAAGUCGAACGCGAAAGCCCCGCAAGGGGUAAGUAGAGUGGCAAACGGGUGAGUAACACGUGGGUGACCUGCCUUCGAGUGGGGAUAACGUCCCGAAAGGGACGCUAAUACCGCAUGACAUCCUGCCUUUGGAAAGGCGGAGAUACAAAGCCGGGGAUCGCAAGACCUGGCGCUUGAAGAGGGCCCGCGUCUGAUUAGCUAGUUGGUGGGUAACGCCUACCGAAGGCGACGAUCAGUA